GGGGAAUAUUGCACAAUGUGCGCAAGCCUGAUGCAGCCAUGCCGCGUGUAUGAAGAAGGCCUUCGGGUUGUAAAGUACUUUCAGCGGGUAGGAAGUUGUUGUGGUUACUUACCGCAGCAAUUGACGUUAUCCGCAGAAGAAGCACCGGCUAACUCCGUGCCAGCAGCCGCGGUAAUACGGCGGGUGCAAGCGUUAAUCGGCAUUACUGGGCGUAAAGCGCACGCAGGCGGCCUGUCAAGUCGGAUGUGAAAUCCCCGGGCUCAACCUGGGAACCGCAUUCGAAACUGGCGGGCUUGAGGCUGGGAGAGGGGGGUAGAAUUCUAGGUGUAGCGGUGAAAUGCGUAGGGAUCUGGAGGAAUACCGGUGGCGCAGCCUGCCUCCUGGACCACGACUGACG
rnacentral:rRNA from 1 species